UACGGAGGGUGCGAGCGUUAAUCGGAAUUACUGGGCGUAAAGCGCACGUAGGCGGUUAGGCAAGUCGGGUGUGAAAGCCCUGGGCUCAACCUGGGAAUUGCAUUCGAAACUACCUGACUCGAGUAUGGGAGAGGGAAGCGGAAUUUCCGGUGUAGCGGUGAAAUGCGUAGAUAUCGGAAGGAACACCAGUGGCGAAGGCGGCUUCCUGGACCAAUACUGACGCUGAGGUGCGAAAGCGUGGGGAGCAAACAGG
rnacentral:rRNA from 1 species